UGGAGAGCUGGCAGAGGACCCAGACAAGCCACCUGCCAAAGCAGUUUGGCUUCUUUGGAAUUUGGUCUUUUCCGGC
ensembl:miRNA Mir7216 microRNA 7216